AUUACCGCGGCUGCUGGCACGAAGUUAGCCGGUGCUUAUUCUUUGGGUACCGUCAUCCCAGCCGGGUAUUAGCCAGCUGGAUUUCUUUCCCAACAAAAGGGCUUUACAACCCGAAGGCCUUCUUCACCCACGCGGUAUGGCUGGAUCAGGCUUGCGCCCAUUGUCCAAUAUUCCCCACUGCUGC
rnacentral:rRNA from 1 species